rnacentral:rRNA from 1 species
UGGGACGUAGGGUGUCGAAAGCUGUUGUGCCGGAAAGUUAUUGGGCGUAAAGAGCCUCGUAGGCGGUUUUGUUGCCGUCGGACUCGUGGAAAUCCCCGAGGCACUCGAAACCCUCGGGUCUGCAGUCGAUGACUGAAGGCAAAGCUAGAGUGGUUUGCAGGGGAGACGUGGAAAUUCCUGGUGUAGCGGUGAAAAGUGCCGGCAGAA